rnacentral:rRNA from 1 species
GUUUUUUCAAAUACUGGGAUUAGACCCCACUAUGCCCAGCCGUAAACAAUUAACUCACACCAACCAGCGCCAGGGAAUUACGAGCUAUGCUUAAAACCCAAAGGACUUGACGGUUUCCCACCCCCCUAGAGGAGCCUGUUCUUUAAUCGAUGACCCCCGCUAUACCUAACCACCCCUCGCUACCAGUCUGUAUACCUCCGUCGAAAGCUUACCAUAUGAACGUUUUCAGUAAGCCCAAUGACCCCCGUCAAUACGUCAGGUCAAGGUGCAGCUUAAGGGAUGGAAAACAAUGGGCUACAAUUUCUAACCUAGAACAAACGAAAGACUAUGUGAAAUCACAGUCAUGAAGGCGGAUUUAGUAGUAAAAAGAAAAUAGAGUGUCUUUAACAUGCUCUGAC